rnacentral:rRNA from 1 species
CGGGGGGAGCAAGCGUUGUUCGGAUUUACUGGGCGUAAAGGGCGCGUAGGCGGCCACUGCAAGUCGGUUGUGAAAUCUCCGGGCUUAACCCGGAAAGGUCAACCGAUACUGCAGGGCUAGAGUGCAGAAGGGGCAACUGGAAUUCUCGGUGUAGCGGUGAAAUGCGUAGAUAUCGAGAGGAACACCUGCGGCGAAGGCGGGUUGCUGGGCUGACACUGACGCUGAUGCGCGAAAGAUAGGGGAGCGAACGGGAUUAGAUACCCCGGUAGUCCUAGCCUUAAACGAUGAAUGCUUGGUGUCUGGGGUUUUAUAGUCCCCGGGUGCCGUCGCUAACGCUUUAAGCAUUCCGCCUGGGGAGUACGGUCGCAAGACUG